GGUUUUUUGGGGUCCCCAUGACCCCUUGGUGCCCCCCAGGACGACGGUGACGGAGGAGUACCGGGUCCCUGACGGGAUGGUCGGCCUCAUCAUCGGCCGUGGCGGGGAGCAGAUCAAUAAGAUCCAGCAGGACUCGGGGUGCAAAGUGCAGAUCUCCCCAGACAGCGGCGGGUUACCGGAGCGCAGCGUGUCCCUGACGGGGUCCCCGGAGUCCGUGCAGUGAGUGACCCCAAAACCUC